AGCACUUGUGUUUGGUUUUUGUUUAAUCUGUGGACAAAGACUUGUAGACAGGUGCAAAAAUAAAUCCCCUUUUGCAACCCCAGAAUUCAUUGUUCAGUAUGAGUUUUGAUACAUAUAAGAAGCAAUGUG
ensembl:snoRNA